rnacentral:tRNA from 1 species
GUUUUCUUAGUAUAAUAAGUACCUAUGACUUCCAAUCAUUUAGCCCCAGUUAAAUCCCGGGAGAAAAUA